rnacentral:rRNA from 1 species
GACAGAGGGUGCAAACGUUGUUCGGAAUUACUGGGCGUAAAGCGCGUGUAGGCGGCAAGGCAAGUCGGGUGUGAAAGCCCUGGGCUCAACCCAGGAAGUGCAUUCGAUACUGCCAAGCUAGAGUCCCGGAGAGGAUGGUGGAACUCUCGGUGUAGAGGUGAAAUGCGCAGAUAUCAGGAGGAACACCGAUGGCGAAGGCAGGUCUCUGGGCCGAUACUGACGCUGAGGAGCGAAAGCGUGGGGAGCGAACAGG